rnacentral:rRNA from 1 species
AUUGAACGCUGGCGGCAGGCCUAACACAUGCAAGUCGAGCGGAUGAAGGGAGCUUGCUCCUGGAUUCAGCGGCGGACGGGUGAGUAAUGCCUAGGAAUCUGCCUGGUAGUGGGGGAUAACGUCCGGAAACGGGCGCUAAUACCGCAUACGUCCUGAGGGAGAAAGUGGGGGAUCUUCGGACCUCACGCUAUCAGAUGAGCCUAGGUCGGAUUAGCUAGUUGGUGGGGUAACGGCCUACCAAGGCGACGAUCCGUAACUGGUCUGAGAGGAUGAUCAGGCACACUGGAACUGAGACACGGUCCAGACUCCUACGGGAGGCAGCAGUGGGGAAUAUUGGACAAUGGGCGAAAGCCUGAUCCAGCCAUGCCGCGUGUGUGAAGAAGGUCUUCGGAUUGGAAAGCACUUUAAGUUGGGAGGAAGGGCAGUAAGUUAAUACCUUGCUGUUUUGACGUUACCAACAGAAUAAGCACCGGCUAACUUCGUG